rnacentral:lncRNA from 1 species
GAAGCGUGUCCACAUUUCUAUAGCUUUCCUUCCCUUCUCCCUGGCCUCCUCAUGUCUCUGUGCCCACCACAGCUGACACCCAUUUUUGCUUCCAUUGCACCCAAGCUGUUCAAGUCUCUGCGAAGCCACGGCCCCUGAGUGCUCGUCGGAAACCUUUCUGUGGAAAGGAGAGGCCUACAUCUGGGCCAGAGGCCUGUCCUCAGUUGACACUGGUACAGAAUGUCUGCAAGUAAUCAAACACACCUGAAGACCCUUCGAGAGAUAGGAAAAUAUCAAGAUCCAGAGCACAGCUUCCGGAGCCAUUCUGCCUGGAAUCAGGUCAUCAUUCCACACCUGACCCAGGGCUUCUUGAUUCACCUAGCUUCACAAGAGCCAAGAGGUGUGUUGAUGGAGAGCGGUCAUACAGUGCUAGUAAUUGCCUUGGAUUCCUGUGCUGUCCUUCAUCAGGGACCUUUAAUGAAGUCUGAGUUGUAGUCCAGUGGAUGCCAGACUGGAAUGCAGGGAGGCUGAAAGCUGACACCAGUUCAACGGAGCCAAGGGCCAGGCGCUAAGGUUGUCUCCAUGACAACCUGCGGAUUUUCCUGGUGAUGCAUUUACACAGCAGGUUAAAGUUCUGUGAAUCAACAGCUGUUGUAAAAACAGUAUAUUAAAUAUGCU